rnacentral:rRNA from 1 species
UUGGCUCAGAACGAACGCUGGCGGCAGGCUUAACACAUGCAAGUCGAACGCCCCGCAAGGGGAGUGGCAGACGGGUGAGUAACACGUGGGAACGUACCCUUUUCUACGGAAUAACCCAGGGAAACUUGGACUAAUACCGUAUGUGCCCUUCGGGGGAAAGAUUUAUCGGAAAAGGAUCGGCCCGCGUUGGAUUAGCUAGUUGGUGGGGUAAAGGCCUACCAAGGCGACGAUCCAAGCUGGUCUGAGAGGA